rnacentral:rRNA from 1 species
GACGAGCGCUGGCGGCGUGCUUAACACAUGCAAGUCGAACGGGCCUUGUCCCCUUUUUUUUUGGGGGUGGGGUUAGUGGCGAACGGGUGAGUAACACGUGAGUAACCUGCCCCUCACUUCUGGAUAACCGCUUGAAAGGGUGGCUAAUACGGGGUGUUCUGGCCUGCUCGCAUGGGUGGGUUUGGAAAGAUUCGACCGGUUUUGGUUGUUUUGGUGGGGGAUGGGCUCGCGGCCUAUCAGCUUGUUGGUGGGGUGAUGGCCUGCCAAGGCUUUGACGGGUAGCCGGCCUGAGAGGGUGGGCGGUCACACUGGGACUGAGACACGGCCCAGACUCCUACGGGAGGCAGCAGUGGGGAAUAUUGCACAAUGGGCGCAAGCCUGAUGCAGCGACGCCGCGUGAGGGAUGGAGGCCUUCGGGUUGUGAACCUCUUUCGCCAGUGAAGAAGGUCCUGCUCUUUGUGGUGGGGUUGACGGUAGCUGGGUUAAUGAAGCGCCGGCUAACUACGUG